UACGGAGGGGGCUAGCGUUAUUCGGAAUUAUUGGGCGUAAAGGGCGCGUAGGCGGCCCGGUAAGUCAAAGGUGAAAUCCCUCGGCUCAACUGAGGAACUGCCUUUGAAACUGUCGGGCUUGAGGCCGGGAGGGGGUAGCGGAAUUCCCAGUGUAGCGGUGAAAUGCGUAGAUAUCAGGAGGAACACCGGUGACGAAGGCGGGUCUCUGGGCCGAUACUGACGCUGAGGAGCGAAAGCGUGGGGAGCGAACAGG
rnacentral:rRNA from 1 species